rnacentral:misc_RNA from 1 species
GAAAUGCGAUAAGUAGUGUGAAUUGCAGAAUUCAGUGAAUCAUCGAAUCUUUGAACGCACAUUGCGCCCCUUGGUAUUCCAUGGGGCAUGCCUGUUCGAGCGUCAUUUGUACCCUCAAGCUCUGCUUGGUGUUGGGUGUUUGUCCCCGUCUCCGCGCGUGGACUCGCCCCAAAGUGAUUGGCAGCCGGCGUACUGGUCCCGGAGCGCAGCACAUGUCGCGCAAACGAGUGCCUUGGUACGGCGGCGUCCAUAAGCCCCUCUCUCACGCUCUUGACCUCGGAUCAGGUAGGGAUACCCGCUGACCCUAAGC